rnacentral:rRNA from 1 species
UACGUAGGUGGCAAGCGUUGUCCGGAAUUAUUGGGCGUAAAGCGCGCGCAGGCGGCCUCUUAAGUCUGAUGUGAAAGCCCCCCGGCUCAACCGGGGAGGGCCAUUGGAAACUGGGAGGCUUGAGUAUAGGAGAGAAGAGUGGAAUUCCACGUGUAGCGGUGAAAUGCGUAGAGAUGUGGAGGAACACCAGUGGCGAAGGCGACUCUUUGGCCUAUAACUGACGCUGAGGCGCGAAAGCGUGGGGAGCAAACAGGA